GGGGAUGUAGCUCAGUGGUAGAGCGCAUGCUUAGCAUGCAUGAGGUCCCGGGUUCGAUCCCCGGCAUCUCCA
rnacentral:tRNA from 2 species